rnacentral:rRNA from 1 species
GAUGAACGCUAGCGGCAGGCUUAAUACAUGCAAGUCGAGGGGCAGCGGGGGUAGCAAUACCUGCCGGCGACCGGCAAACGGGUGCGGAACACGUACAGAACCUUCCUUUAAGUGGGGGAUAGCCCGAAGAAAUUCGGAUUAAUACCCCGUAAUAUUAUGGAGUGGCAUCACUUUAUAAUUAAAGAUUUAUCGCUUAGAGAUGGCUGUGCGGCUGAUUAGGUAGUUGGUGUAGGUAACGGCNCACCAAGCCUUCGAUCAGUAACUGGUGUGAGAGCACGACCAGUCACACGGGCACUGAGACACGGGCCCGACUCCUACGGGAGGCAGCAGUAAGGAAUAUUGGGCAAUGGACGCAAGUCUGACCCAGCCAUGCCGCGUGAAGGAUGAAGGUCCUCUGGACUGUAAACUUCUUUUGAAUGGACGAAACCCUGGUAUUCUUACCAGAUUGACGGUACCAUUAGAAUAAGCACCGGCUAACUCCGU